ACAUUUUCAAGAACGUGCGAAUGCCAAGUGCAUUAAAAAUAGAUGAGUAACCUAGGUAUACUGACAAUUGCGCCAAGUUAACCCAUAUGUUUGCAAGAAGAGGAGUAACCUUUCCGCAGAUAUUUCUUGUGAUGCUACUUGGCAUUCCAUCAGGAAUAUACAUUUGGCGACCGGUGCUGGAAGGGAUGAAGGCAGAGAAGCUUGCGAGGAAGCAGGCAGAUGCGACCGGUGAAGAACGAAAGAACUAGUGAGCAUGAAGAAGCCGUGUUAUCCUGGGUGAAGAUACACGAAAACAUUCGUUCACGUUGUCCGUGAGUAGUAGACAACAACUCUGGAGAGUCAGCAAUACAUCCAGUCGACUUAUUCAGACUCAUAGGCGUUUUAUUAUUAUAAAAUAUGGCAAAUAAACUGAUGAGACCAGCUAUGAUUGUGGUUGUUUCAGCAGGCACAGCCAUAUUGCUGACCUGGUAUGGGAAAGUGAUUCCCGCCAUGAAAGCACGCAAAUACAAUAAUAUCGAACAAGAGAUGCAAUCUUACAGAAGCAAGUCUAAAGAGCUUUCUAGCCAAGAUAAAUGCAGUGAAGACCAGGCUAUCAAGAACACAUGAAAUACAGCAUGUGUAGGUUAAUAAGUACUCAAGUUACAAAAUUCUGGCUUUUUAAUUAAAUUAUUUUUCCAGAAUAUAUAACUUGACAUUAAAACUAUGGUCAUGGAUCAUGUUAAAAGAUAACGUGUGUUUCCUGUUUAAAUAGCAUAAAAGUUAAAGUAGAUAAGAUGGUGAAAACUUUAGUGUGAUGACUUUUUAUUGAUUAAUUAUCAUUUACCAAUUGAUUCGCCUCAGCUGUUCCAAGAGAAAGACCAAUUAAAAUGUUGUUAGAACACCUGAUUGAAACAGAUAGUGUUCUGAAAAUUUUUGUGGGAGUAUUUAAAAAAAAUGCUUGGGUCACUUCGCAAUUUGUUGGUAGGUUGAAUAAGAGAAAGUCUUUUCUUGUUUUGUUUUACAUGACUUGCUUUGUAGAAUAAAUAUGUUGUAAAAUUUGCCCAUAAAA